GUGGGGAAUAUUGGACAAUGGGCGAAAGCCUGAUCCAGCCAUGCCGCGUGUGUGAAGAAGGUCUUCGGAUUGUAAAGCACUUUAAGUUGGGAGGAAGGGCAUUAACCUAAUACGUUAGUGUUUUGACGUUACCGACAGAAUAAGCACCGGCUAACUUCGUGCCAGCAGCCGCGGUAAUACGAAGGGUGCAAGCGUUAAUCGGAAUUACUGGGCGUAAAGCGCGCGUAGGUGGUUCGUUAAGUUGGAUGUGAAAGCCCCGGGCUCAACCUGGGAACUGCAUCCAAAACUGGCGAGCUAGAGUACGGUAGAGGGUGGUGGAAUUUCCUGUGUAGCGGUGAAAUGCGUAGAUAUAGGAAGCAACACCAGUGGCGAAGGCGACCACCUGGACUGAUACUGACACUGAGGUGCGAAAGCGUGGGGAGCAAACAGGAUUAGAUACCCCAGUAGUCC
rnacentral:rRNA from 1 species